GAUCUGAAAUCAGGUAGGGCUACCCGCUGAACUUAAGCAUAUCAAUAAGCGGAGGAAAAGAAACUAACAAGGAUUCCCCUAAUAACGGCGAGUGAAGCGGGAAGAGCUCAAAUUUAAAAUCUAGUUUGCUUGCAAACUCGAGUUGUAGUCUGAAGAAACGUUUUCCAUGAAAGCUGAGGCACAAGUCCUUUGGAACAGGGCAUCAUAGAGGGUGAGAAUCCCGUCCAUGGUCUCAAGUCUUUCAUUUUGUGAUACGUUUUCUAAGAGUCAGGUUGUUUGGGAAUGCAGCCUAAAAUGGGUGGUAAAUUUCAUCUAAAGCUAAAUAUUGGCGAGAGACCGAUAGCGAACAAGUACCGUGAGGGAAAGAUGAAAAGAACUUUGAAAAGAGAGUUAAAAAGUACGUGAAAUUGUUGAAAGGGAACCGUUUGAAGCCAG
rnacentral:rRNA from 1 species